UACGAAGGGGGCUAGCGUUGCUCGGAAUCACUGGGCGUAAAGCGCACGUAGGCGGCUUCUUAAGUCAGGGGUGAAAUCCUGGAGCUCAACUCCAGAACUGCCUUCGAUACUGGAAAGCUCGAGUCCGGGAGAGGUGAGUGGAACUGCGAGUAUAGAGGUGAAAUUCGUAGAUAUUCGCAAGAACACCAGUGGCGAAGGCGGCUCACUGGCCCGGUACUGACGCUGAGGUGCGAAAGCGUGGGGAGCAAACAGG
rnacentral:rRNA from 1 species